rnacentral:rRNA from 1 species
AUUGAACGCUGGCGGCAGGCUUAACACAUGCAAGUCGAGCGAGCGGCGGACGGGUGAGUAAUGUCGGGGAAACUGCCUGAUGGAGGGGGAUAACUACUGGAAACGGUAGCUAAUACCGCAUACCAUCAGAUGUGCCCAGAUGGGAUUAGCUAGGAAGUGGGGUAAUGGCUCACCUAGGCGACGAUCCAUAGCUGGGCUGAGAGGAUGACCAGCAUCACUGGAACUGAGACACGGCCCAGACUCCUACGGGAGGCAGCAGUGGGGAAUAUUGAACAAUGGGCGCAAGCCUGAUGCAGCCACGCCGCGUGUGUGAAGAAGGCUUUCGGGUUGUAAAUCUCUUUCAGCGAUGAGGCGUUACUCGCACCAGAAGCACCGGCUAACUCCGUGCCAGCAGCCGCGGUAAUAC